GAUGAACGCUGGCGGCGUGCUUAACACAUGCAAGUCGAACGGUGAAGGCGGAGCUUGCUCUGCUGGAUCAGUGGCGAACGGGUGAGUAACACGUGAGCAAUCUGCCCCUGACUCUGGGAUAAGCGCUGGAAACGGCGUCUAAUACUGGAUACGAGCUGCGAAGGCAUCUUCAGCAGCUGGAAAGAAUUUCGGUCAGGGAUGAGCUCGCGGCCUAUCAGCUUGUUGGUGAGGUAAUGGCUCACCAAGGCGUCGACGGGUAGCCGGCCUGAGAGGGUGACCGGCCACACUGGGACUGAGACACGGCCCAGACUCCUACAGGAGGCAGCAGUGGGGAAUAUUGCACAAUGGGCGAAAGCCUGAUGCAGCAACGCCGCGUGAGGGACGACGGCCUUCGGGUUGUAAACCUCUUUUAGCAGGGAAGAAGCGAAAGUGACGGUACCUGCAGAAAAAGCGCCGGCUAACUACGUG
rnacentral:rRNA from 1 species